CAAGAAUUGCUGGCAACAUAUGUAUGACAUAUGAUUGAAAAAGUGAUUGAAAGUUCUAUUCAGACAAAAGAAGUUGCAUAGGAAUUUGAGAUCAAAAGCUGCUGAAAGAGACCAAAUAGAUACCAGCAUGUGGUUCAGGUUUUCCGAUGGAGCAUUCAAGGCUGGCUUUUUUUAAUAUGUAAUUGCAGCAAAUAGUGGAAGAAUGUAAUGGUUUCAUCAACAGAGGUGCUCCUAUUGUCAUUAUGCAUUGUUUUUUUAAUAUGCAUGUAUGGUUUGAUUUUAUACACCAAAUUGGAUCAUCA